rnacentral:lncRNA from 1 species
AUUUAUAUAUACAUAUAUAAAUAUAUGAAAAUUAUCUUCACAGUCAAAUCCACUGGAUAUGUCACUGAUGAUCAGAUAAAGUAAUUCUGGAGUUGGAAAACAUGGAAGUAAAAUACUUGUCGGUAACGGCAAGGUCAUGGGCAUGAUCAUCUCUGUAUGUAGCUGAAAUGGUAUGGAGAGAUUUGGACACGAUGACUUCUAAGGUCUCUCCCAGCUCUAGGACCCAGCUAUCUUGAGAAUGGAGCUUUGAUGGAUUGUCGGUCGCCAUUACACUUUGGAUGGUAGCAAUGACCCAGGUGGUAACAGAACAGAACAGGAUGUACGUCUAUCACAUUCAUGAAAUGGCAAAUAGCAGACAGAGAAGAAAAAUGGCAUCCAGGAGCAGGUGAGGCCCUGCUAGAGCUUUUAUUAUUAUUAAUCAUGAUCCUUCCAUAAUAUUAAUUAGUAUUUAUAUGGUAACUUUUUUCCCCACAAGCCAAAGUGGCCUUAUGUCUGCAGGUUCCUUUUUCUCUGAGAGCCCAAAGACAAGGGCUAUUAUUUGAAUAGAGUUCUAGGGUCCAGAGAGUAAGGAAGCAGAGGUUCUCAGAUGGAAUCUU